UGGGGAAUUUUGGACAAUGGGCGCAAGCCUGAUCCAGCUAUGCCGCGUGCGGGAAGAAGGCCUUCGGGUUGUAAACCGCUUUUGUCAGGGAAGAAAUCUUCUGAGUUAAUACCUCGGGAGGAUGACGGUACCUGAAGAAUAAGCACCGGCUAACUACGUGCCAGCAGCCGCGGUAAUACGUAGGGUGCAAGCGUUAAUCGGAAUUACUGGGCGUAAAGCGUGCGCAGGCGGUUUUGUAAGACAGAGGUGAAAUCCCCGGGCUCAACCUGGGAACUGCCUUUGUGACUGCAAGGCUUGAGUGCGGCAGAGGGGGGCAUGGAAUUCCGCGUGUAGCAGUGAAAUUGCCGUAGAUAUGCGGAGGAACACCGAUGGCGAAGGCAAUCCCCUGGGCCUGCACUGACGCUCAUGCACGAAAGCGUGGGGAGC
rnacentral:rRNA from 1 species